rnacentral:lncRNA from 1 species
UGGGGCCCCAUAAUCAUUUGGUCCAGGACAGGCAGUAGGCGUCAGGGGGCGCCCUAAGGCUCCACGGCAUGUGCCUGUAUUGCUGGGACAUCGAGCCUUCCCAAGUCAACCCUGAAGGACCAAGACAACAUCAUCCUUCAGAGGUCACUGAGCGGCAGCUUGCAAAUAAACGUAUUCAGAAUAUGCAACACCUAAAGAAAGAGAAGAGGAGACUGAAUAAAAGGUUUUCAAGGCCUUCUCCUAUUCCAGAACCAGGACUCCUAUGGUCAUCUUGAUAAAGCAGGAGUCUAUUUGAAGGAAACCAUGCUCCAGACAGAAAUAUGUGGAUUGUGAACAUCAAGUGACAUAUCAUGAAUUGAUCAUCCACAAAAUAAAUGCAAUACUCCACCAUUUCGGAAAAAUAAACACAGUGCAAGUAUUUAAUAUCCAAGCUACAGGCUCUAGAAUUUUAUUAAAUGCCAUCUCUCACUACCAUAUUUUUCUUUCCUGUGGAGCAUUCCAGAUCAUCAUCCAGGGAAAAGGAUUAUAAGUAGAGC